rnacentral:miRNA from 1 species
GCUCUACAGAGUGGUCAAUGUCUAAUCCACUUGAACUGGGGCUGAAGAAAGAGUGAAAAUGGGAACAAAGGCCGGGCGGUGGUGGCACAUGCCUUUUAUCCCAG